UUUUUUUUUUUUUUGCUGCUGCUUAAAUGUGCUGAAGAAAGUAAGAAGCCCUUCCCUUGGCAAACUCCAGCUCUGAAAUCUAGUCCAGCAAGAAUUCAUGAUAUCAUUGUUUACUUUGUUCAAAUUUCAACUCCCUAUCCUUCUUCCCUUCACUUUGGAGAAUUAUUGCCAGUUCUUCUAGUUUUGCAUAGCUUUUUUAUCAUUCCAGCUUGUCUUUGUUAUCCACUUUUUCUGUUUGGACCUUUUUCUUAUCUUUCCCCUAAAACAGGGGCAAACAUUUUCUUUAAAGGGCCAGAUAGUAAAUAUUGUUGGCUUUGUGGGACAGCUGGUCUGUGUCACAGGUGCUUAACUCUGCCAUUGAAGCAUGAGAGCAGCCUUAGAUGGUCGCAAAAGCAUGGGCAAGGCUAGAUUUGGCCUGCAGUCUAUAGUCCCCCACCCCUCCACCCCUGCCCCAAAUAGCAUUUUAAAUCCUACUUCAUCAUGCCAAGAGUCUCUGAUCUGCCUUUUCUUCCACAGUAAUGGCCUUCCAAUUCUAGCGUUAAAAGUGCCAGCUGUGCCUUGAUUUCCUUUAUAAAAUGUGUCAUUCAUUAGCAAGUACACUGAUUGCAUCGUGUGUUCUGUGUGAAUCAGCAGAAGGCCCAAUGAGGCUUGCUAAGUCUUGGCUUCUAACACACCUCAGAUGUAUGUUCUAGGUGACUGACUGUAACUCCUGGUUUACUUGAUUUCCACUCCGUGUUGAGAAGUUACUAGUCACCACAUCCCAGUGUGCAUACGGUCUUCCAUGUUAUUCUAGAUAACAUUAAUUGAGCAUGUACUGUGAGUCAGACACUGUACCGGGUACUUUACAUGCAUUAGAUUGUGUGAUCCUCAUAAGUGCACCAUAAGGUGCUACAGUGUUAGCACUAUUUAACAGAUGAGAAAACUGACAUUAGGAAAUUAGGGACUGCCUGUGGUCACACUGCCAGUAAGUAGCAGAGCUAGACCUGAACCUUUGUUUGACUCCAAAGUCCUUGUGUUAAAAAUACACACUGUGGGGUUACCUUGGGGUAAAUCCAUCCAUGCCCCCACCCAUCCAUCAUUCAUCUAGAUUUCAAUUAUCUGUGCUAAAAGCCAUGGAAUCACUUAUAUUUUUUCCCCCGGUUUCUUGUAGUUUAUCUCUUUUGCCAAUCUGUUUUUUUUUUGUUUUUUUUUUUUUUUUGAGACAGGGUCUCAUUUUGUCACUUAGACUGGAGUGCAGUGGUGCAAUCUCGGUUCACUGCAGCCUUGACCUCCCUGGGCUCAGGUGAUCCUCCUGCGUCAGCCUUCUGAGUAGCUGGGACUACAGGCACAUACCACCAUGCCUGGCUAAUUUUUGUAUUUCAUGUAGAGAUGGAGUUUCACCAUGUUGCCCAGGCUGGUCUCAAACUCCUGGGCUGAAGCAAUCUGCCCAUCUCAGCCCCCUAAAGUGCUGGGAUUACAGGCGUGAGCCACUGCACCAGGCCCAACGUGUUAAACUUAGUUCCAAGAUCUCUCAGUGCCUCAGAAUGUCUUCCUUUAUGGAUUAUUUCUUCCAUCUUUUCUAGAAUACAAAACUCUUCCUUUCUUAUAAAUUGGUGUAUAAAGAGGCAUAUCAUAGGCUCUUAGAUUUGCAAAGACUUAUAUUUAUAGCACACAUACUUCAAGUAGAGAGAAGACAAAUACAGCACACGUAGUCUGCGAAUCAGUGAUACAGUGUCUCUCCUUUCUAGGUAAGUGACAUGAGGUAGAGUUGGUUUUAGCUUCCCCCGACAGAUGCCUCCUGGAAAUUUCUAAGGCAAGCUAAUUACUUCCUUGGUCCUCCCACUACUCUGUAUUGUCCUUGACUUACCACCACCUUCUGUUAAUCCUUCUAGGUGUCUGUGCUGCUACUAACUGGUCCAGUCCAAAUGAAGCCCAGCUUACUCUACCAGACACUGAGGGCCCCUUGAGCUGAAUGAGCCAUAUUUUCAGAUCAUGAGAAUGUUGUCUUUGUGAUUUCAUGUUAGAGGUCUUCCAGUUUACUUAUGAAAAUACAUUAGAUUCACAGAUUCAUAUCACAGAUACAUAAUUUGUUUAUUCCAGAAGCUACGUAUCUUCGCUAGCAUACUGGAAACUGCCAAGCUUAGUAGCAUCUUCCUCUACAAUGUCAGGUUUAAAUUAAAAAAAGAAUUCUACACUUCCCAUUAGUCAUUUUUUAAUUUGAAGAUUGACUACUAAAAAUAUGUACUAUUUUUCGCUUAAUUAGGAGCCAUAUAUUGAAGACCAUGUCUGGGAGCUUCUACUUUGUAAUUGUUGGCCACCAUGAUAAUCCAGUUUUUGAAAUGGAGUUUUUGCCAGCUGGGAAGGCAGAAUCCAAAGACGACCAUCGUCAUCUGAACCAGUUCAUAGCUCAUGCUGCUCUCGACCUCGUAGAUGAGAACAUGUGGCUGUCGAACAACAUGUACUUGAAAACUGUGGACAAGUUCAACGAGUGGUUUGUGUCAGCAUUUGUCACUGCGGGGCAUAUGAGGUUUAUUAUGCUUCAUGACAUAAGACAAGAAGAUGGAAUAAAGAACUUCUUUACUGAUGUUUAUGAUUUAUAUAUAAAGGUACGGUAUGGUAUGUUCUAUAAUUUUUAAAAUCUGAUGAGAAAGGAUUCGACCUUUGUCAGGAAACUGGCCUACUGAAGUAACUCCCUUAGGCUGCAGUUUACCUUUCAGACUAGCUUUCCCCCAUCAGAACUAUCUCUGGCAACUCCCUCCGCAGGUAAGUCUUCACAGCCAGGUGAAUAUGUAUUUAGGAACACAACUCAUGGUAGUUAUCUUUAGAUGAUUGUGAAGGUAAAUUGGUUUCAUUCUUCACCUUGUUGUCCUCAUAGCUGAUUUUAUUAGGGAUCCCUAAAGACAGCAAGGAAGCAGCCUAUAUAAGGGAAAAUUACUUCACAAUUUAAUCUCAAAUGUUUCCAUCUACUUUACAAAUAAGUUACAGUGCAAUUAAUAGAGAUCAUAAACUGGCAGGAAGUGAUUUUUAUAUGAUCAAAUAGCCACUCAAGAAGAAUGGCGCCACUUGCAUUUCUUGAUUUUGAAAAAUAAAAUAAUAAUAGGACGUCAUGGUUACACUGCAG
rnacentral:sRNA from 1 species